rnacentral:tRNA from 1 species
GUUAUGACAUUGGCUUGAAACCAAUUUUAGGGGGUUCGAUUCCUUCCUUUCUUA